ACGAACGCUAGCGGCGUGCCUAACACAUGCAAGUCGUACGAGCAUUAGCAAUAAUGUUAGUGGCGAACGGGUGCGUAACACGUGGGAAAUCUGCCUGGGAGUGGGGAAUAAACGCUCGAAAGGGCGUCUAAUACCGCAUAAUGCAGCGGCCUCGCAUGAGGAUGUUGUUAAAGUAGCGAUACGCUUCCAGAUGAUCCCGCGCCUGAUUAGCUUGUUGGCGGGGUAACGGCCCACCAAGGCGACGAUCAGUAGCCGAUCUGAGAGGAUGACCGGCCACACUGGGACUGAGAUACGGCCCAGACUCCUACGGGAGGCAGCAGUGAGGAGUAUUGCGCAAUGGACGAAAGUCUGACGCAGCAACGCCGCGUGAGUGAUGAAGGUCUUCGGAUUGUAAAGCUCUGUAGCAGGGGAAGAAUUGCCCGUUGAGGGCGUUGACGGUACCCUGAAAGUAAGCACCGGCUAACUCCGU
rnacentral:rRNA from 1 species